rnacentral:ncRNA from 1 species
GAGGGGAGGUCCCUCGGAGUCGGCUUGCAGGAGCAGGCUUCAAACCGCCCUAAGCUGCGAUGGUAAAGAGACAUGGUGGUGAGCGUUAGGGGAAAGGCGCAAGAGAAUGCGUCAGGU